rnacentral:antisense_RNA from 1 species
GAAAAUUUAUUUCGGCUUUAGUUUUAUAGAAAAGUGCGGUUAAUUUUAAAAAAAUUUUCUAGUGAGAAUAGUUAUUUUUCAUAAAAAAUCCCAAGUUAUAUAACUUGGGAUGAAAUGGUGCGACUAGCUGGACUCGAACCAGUGACCCCCACCA